AGUGAACGCUGGCGGUAGGCCUAACACAUGCAAGUCGAACGGCAGCACAGUAAGAGCUUGCUCUUACGGGUGGCGAGUGGCGGACGGGUGAGGAAUACAUCGGAAUCUACUUUUUCGUGGGGGAUAACGUAGGGAAACUUACGCUAAUACCGCAUACGACCUACGGGUGAAAGCAGGGGAUCUUCGGACCUUGCGCGAUUGAAUGAGCCGAUGUCGGAUUAGCUAGUUGGCGGGGUAAAGGCCCACCAAGGCGACGAUCCGUAGCUGGUCUGAGAGGAUGAUCAGCCACACUGGGACUGAGACCCGGUCCAGACUCCUACGGGAGGCAGCAGUGGGGAAUAUUGGACAAUGGGCGCAAGCCUGAUCCAGCCAUACCGCGUGGGUGAAGAAGGCCUUCGGGUUGUAAAGCCCUUUUGUUGGGAAAGAAAAGCAGCAGGUUAAUACCCCGCUGUUCUGACGGUACCCAAAGAAUAAGCACCGGCUAACUUCGUG
rnacentral:rRNA from 1 species